GACAGAGGGUGCAAACGUUGUUCGGAAUUACUGGGCGUAAAGCGCGUGUAGGCGGCUUGGCAAGUCGGGUGUGAAAGCCCUGGGCUCAACUCAGGAAGUGCACUCGAAACUGCUUCGCUCGAGUAUCGGAGAGGAGAGCGGAAUUCUCGGUGUAGAGGUGAAAUUCGUAGAUAUCGAGAGGAACACCGGUGGCGAAGGCGGCUUUCUGGACGAUUACUGACGCUGAGACGCGAAAGCGUGGGGAGCAAACAGG
rnacentral:rRNA from 1 species